UACAGAGGUGGCAAGCGUUGUUCGGAAUUACUGGGCGUAAAGGGCGCGUAGGCGGCCAUCUAAGUCAGACGUGAAAUCCCCCGGCUUAACCUGGGAACUGCGUCUGAUACUGGACGGCUAGAGUAUGGGAGAGGGAUGUAGAAUUCCAGGUGUAGCGGUGAAAUGCGUAGAUAUCUGGAGGAACACCGAUGGCGAAGGCAGGUCUCUGGGCCACUACUGACGCUGAGAAGCGAAAGCGUGGGGAGCGAACAGG
rnacentral:rRNA from 1 species